CCUACGGGUGGCAGCAGUGGGGGAUAUUGCGCAAUGGGCGAAAGCCUGACGCAGCAACGCCGCGUGAACGAGACGCCCUUCGGGGUGUAAAGUUCUGUCAGUGGGGACGAAAAAUGACGGUACCCACAGAGGAAGCACCGGCUAACUCCGUGCCAGCAGCCGCGGUAAUACGGAGGGUGCAAGCGUUGUCCGGAUUCAUUGGGCGUAAAGAGUUCGUAGGCGGCAUGUAAAGUCAGGUGUGAAAGGCGGAGGCUCAACCUCUGUAUGGCAGUUGAUACUGGCAAGCUGGAGUGCGGUAGAGGUAAAGGGAAUUCCUGGUGUAGCGGUGAAAUGCGUAGAUAUCAGGAGGAACAUCAGUGGCGUAAGCGCUUUACUGGGCCGUAAUUGACGCUGAGGAACGAAAGCCAGGGUAGCAAAUGGGAUUAGAUACCCGAGUAGUC
rnacentral:rRNA from 1 species